ACGUUGAAUAUUGUCUAUGAUUUUAACUUUAUACACAAGUGCCAAAUACUAUAAGUACUAUAAUUAAUAAUAAUAAUGAUUGUAAUUU